rnacentral:rRNA from 1 species
UACAGAGGUCUCGAGCGUUAGGCGGAAUCACUGGGCUUAAAGCGUGUGUAGGCGGAUUGCUAAGUACCUUGUGAAAUCCCACGGCUUAACCGUGGAACUGCUUGGUAUACUGGCUGUCUUGAGCCACUUAGGGGCAACCGGAACAAACGGUGGAGCGGUGAAAUGCGUAGAUAUCGGGAAGAACACCCGUGGCGAAGGCGGUUCUCUGGGACGGUACUGACGCUGAGACGCGAAAGCGUGGGGAGCAAACAGG